rnacentral:rRNA from 1 species
AUUGAACGCUGGCGGCAGGCUUAACACAUGCAAGUCGAGCGGGGGAAGGUAGCUUGCUACCGGACCUAGCGGCGGACGGGUGAGUAAUGCUUAGGAAUCCGCCUAUUAGUGGGGGACAACAUCUCGAAAGGGAUGCUAAUACCGCAUACGUCCUACGGGAGAAAGCAGGGGAUCUUCGGACCUUGCGCUAAUAGAUGAGCCUAAGUCGGAUUAGCUAGUUGGUGGGGUAAAGGCCUACCAAGGCGACGAUCUGUAGCGGGUCGGAGAGGACGAUCCGCCACACUUGGACUGAGACACGGCCCAGACUCCUACGGGAGGCAGCAGUGGGGAAUAUUGGACAAUGGGGGGAACCCUGAUCCAGCCAUGCCGCGUGUGUGAAGAAGGCCUUAUGGUUGUAAAGCACUUUAAGCGAGGAGGAGGCUACUUUAGUUAAUACCUAGAGAUAGUGGACGUUACUCGCAGAAUAAGCACCGGCUAACUCUGUGCCAGCAGCCGCAGUAA